AGAGUUCGAUCCUGGCUCAGGAUAAACGCCGGCGGCGUGCCUAAUACAUGCAAGUCGAACGGAGGUAGCAAUACCUUAGUGGCGAACGGGUGAGUAACACGUUGGUAACCUGCCCCUAGGACCGGAAUACCAGGCGGAAACGCUUGCUAAUGCCGGAUGUUGCCCCGGAGACGAAAGUCACCGGGAUGAAAGGCGGCAAUUGCCGCGCCAAGGGAUGGACCUGCGUCGCAUUAGCUAGUUGGCGGGAUAAAGGCCCACCAAGGCGAGGAUGCGUAGCCGAGCUGAGAGGCUAAACGGCCACAUUGGGACUGAGACACGGCCCAGACUCCUACGGGAGGCAGCAGUAGGGAGUAUUUGGCAAUGGGGGAAACCCUGACCGAGCAACGCCGCGUGCGCGAUGAAGGCCUUCGGGUCGUAAAGCGCUGUGAUUCGCUGGGAAACCCAGAGGGAGUGGAAAGCCCUCUGGCUGACCGGCCUAUUAGAAAGCAACUGCUAACUACGUGCCAGCAGCAGCGGUAAUACGUAGGUUGCAAGCGUUAUCCGGAAUUAUUGGGCGUAAAGAGUGAGCAGGCGGCUUUGCAAGCCGGGGGUCAAAUGCGGCAGCUUAACUGCCGUUCGUCCCCGGAACUGCAUGGCUAGAGUGCUGGAGAGGCAAGCGGAACUCCUCAUGUAGCGGUGAAAUGCGCAGAUAUGAGGAAGAACACCAGUGGCGAAGGCGGCUUGCUAGACAGUAACUGACGCUCAGUCACGAAAGCGUGGGGAGCAAAUAGGCUUAGAUACCCUAGUAGUCCACGCCGUAAACGUUGAGGACCAGGUGCCGGGGGCAUACCUCGGUGUCCGAGCUAACGCAUUGAGUCCUCCGCCUGGGUACUACGUUCGCAAGAAUAAAACUUAAAGGAAUUGACGGGGGCCCGCACAAGCAGUGGAGCAUGUGGUUUAAUUCGUGGCUACGCGGAAAACCUUACCUGGGUUUGACAUCCCUGUAAAGGACCUAGAGAUAGGUAGAUAGUUAUACAGGUGAACGGUGGUGCAUGGCUGUCGUCAGCUCGUGUCGUGAGAUGUUGGGUUAAGUCCCGCAACGAGCGCAACCC
rnacentral:rRNA from 1 species